rnacentral:rRNA from 1 species
GGAGUUAGCCGGUGCUUCUUCUGCGAGUAACGUCACAGAUGUAAGGUAUUAACUUACACCCUUUCCUCCUCGCUGAAAGUGCUUUACAACCCGAAGGCCUUCUUCACACACGCGGCAUGGCUGCAUCAGGGUUUCCCCCAUUGUGCAAUAUUCCCCACUGCUGCCUCCCGUAGGAGUCUGGGCCGUGUCUCAGUCCCAGUGUGGCUGAUCAUCCUCUCAGACCAGCUAGGGAUCGUCGCCUAGGUGAGCCUUUACCUCACCUACUAGCUAAUCCCACCUGGGCUUAUCCAUCAGCGCAAGGCCCGAAGGUCCCCUGCUUUCCCCCGUAGGGCGUAUGCGGUAUUAGCAGUCGUUUCCAACUGUUAUCCCCCACAAAUGGGCAAAUUCCCAGGAAUUACUCACCCGUCCGCCGCUCGUCAUCUUCAAAGCAAGCUUUUGAAAUGUUACCGCUCGACUUGCAUGUGUUAGGCCUGCCGCCAGCGUUCAAUCUGAGCCAUAAUCAAACUCUGA